rnacentral:rRNA from 1 species
GCCAAGUGUGCCAAGGUUUACUCAGUGGAAUUUCAGAAGCUAGGCAGGUUUGGGCCUGGUUAAUACUUGGAUGGGAGACUGCCUGGGAAUACCGGGUGCUGUAGGCU